rnacentral:rRNA from 1 species
ACACUGACGUCGCGACGCAUAUCAAUAAGCGGAGGAAAAGAAACUAACAAGGAUUCCCUUAGUAACGGCGAGUGAAGCGGGAAGAGCUCAAAUUUGAAAUCUUCAAGGUUCUACCUUGACGAAUUGUAGUUUAAAGAAGGUGUUUUCUGUUAGUGGAGUAGGCAAAAGUUCUUUGGAAUAGGACAUCAUAGAGGGUGAGAAUCCCGUAUUUGGUCAUUCCUUCUAGCUUUGUGAUACACUUUCAAAGAGUCGGAUUGUUUGGGAAUGCAGUCCAAAAUGGGUGGUAAAUUUCAUCUAAAGCUAAAUAUUGGCGAGAGACCGAUAGCGAACAAGUACCGUGAGGGAAAGAUGAAAAGAACUUUGAAAAGAGAGUUAAACAGUACGUGAAAUUGUCAAAAGGGAAGCGUUUGACACCAGUGUUGUUUUUCCGAAAAUCAAUUAUAGAAUGGUUUGAUUUCUGAUGAGUGAUGACCUUCAUCAGCUUCCUGCAUCUCUUUACGAGUCUUUUGUAAUGCACUUUUCGGUUAACAAGUCAACAUCAAUUUCUUUUGUUGUAAAAGAGUAUUCGGAAGGUGGCUUUCUUUUCGGAGAAAGUGUUUAUAGCCCUAUACUUCUAGCAAUCGGAGAGAUUGAGGUCUGCAGCGUAGAUCCUUCGGGGUUAGAUACAUUUGUGCUAAGUUAAGCUUUUCAUAGACAACUUGUUGACUAUGUUUAGUCAUGUCGGCUUACUCGCUUAGUGCUAUUUUACCUACGCUUAGGAUGUGAGUCGUAGAGCACGCA